CCUACGGGAGGCAGCAGUGAGGAAUAUUGGUCAAUGGACGAGAGUCUGAACCAGCCAAGUAGCGUGAAGGAUGACUGCCCUAUGGGUUGUAAACUUCUUUUAUAUGGGAAUAAAACAGGGUAUGCAUACCCUCUUGUAUGUACCAUAUGAAUAAGGAUCGGCUAACUCCGUGCCAGCAGCCGCGGUAUUACGGAGGAUCCGAGCGUUAUCCGGAUUUAUUGGGUUUAAAGGGAGCGUAGGUGGAUUGUUAAGUCAGUUGUGAAAGUUUGCGGCUUAACCGUAAAAUUGCAGUUGAAACUGGCAGUCUUGAGUACAGUAGAGGUGGGCGGAAUUCGUGGUGUAGCGGUGAAAUGCUUAGAUAUCACGAAGAACUCCGAUUGCGAAGGCAGCUCACUGGACUGCAACUGACACUGAUGCUCGAAAGUGUGGGUAGCAAACAGGAUUAGAUACCCCAGUAGUC
rnacentral:rRNA from 1 species